GAAGAAGGGGGCUAGCGUUGUUCGGAAUCACGAGGCGUAAAGCGCACGUAGGCGGAUUUGUUAGUCAGGGGUGAAAUCCCGGGGCUCAACCUCGGAACUGCCUUUGAUACUGCAGAUCUCGAGUCCGGAAGAGGUGAGUGGAAUUCCUAGUAUAGAGGUGAAAUUCGUAGAUAUUAGGAAGAACACCAGUGGCGAAGGCGGCUCACUGGUCCGGUACUGACGCUGAGGUGCGAAAGCGUGGGGAGCAAACAGG
rnacentral:rRNA from 1 species